GACGAACGCUGGCGGCGUGCUUAACACAUGCAAGUCGAACGGAAAGGCCCUGCUUUUGUGGGGUGCUCGAGUGGCGAACGGGUGAGUAACACGUGAGUAACCUGCCCUUGACUUUGGGAUAACUUCAGGAAACUGGGGCUAAUACCGGAUAGGAGCUCCUGCUGCAUGGUGGGGGUUGGAAAGUUUCGGCGGUUGGGGAUGGACUCGCGGCUUAUCAGCUUGUUGGUGGGGUAGUGGCUUACCAAGGCUUUGACGGGUAGCCGGCCUGAGAGGGUGACCGGCCACAUGGGGACUGAGAGACGGCCCAGACUGCUACGGGAGGCAGCAGUGGGGAAUAUUGCACAAUGGGCGGAAGCCUGAUGAAGCAACGCCGCGGGCGGGAUGACGGCCUUCGGGUUGUAAACCGCUUUCGCCUGUGACGAAGCGGGAGUGACGGUAAUGGGUAAAGAAGCACCGGCUAACUACGUG
rnacentral:rRNA from 1 species